rnacentral:snRNA from 1 species
GGAUGUGAGGGCAAUCUGGCUGCGACAUCUGUCACCCCUUUGAUCACCAGGCUUGAUUCAGCUGAUCUGGCUGGCUAGGUGGUUGUCUCCUUCCUCCCUCCCUGCUCCACGUAUGUCCCUGCCAAAGCUGCACGCUGUGUCAAAGAAGGCAACCAUCCCCGAUGGUGGAGGACUGGUCUUUGGUCAAAAGUAUACAAGUAGUUAUGCUCCCCUGCUAGAGCCUCCAAACAAGCCCUCAAAUUACUUGCCAGGAACCAUUGUCUUUGGAGAAUAUUUUCUAAUCUUUCCAGAGGUGUUUUUGUUUUGGG